UACGUAGGGACCAAGCGUUGUUCGGAUUUACUGGGCGUAAAGGGCGCGUAGGCGGCGCGGUAAGUCACUUGUGAAAUCUCUGAGCUUAACUCAGAACGGCCAAGUGAUACUGCAGUGCUAGAGUGUGGAAGGGGCAAUCGGAAUUCUUGGUGUAGCGGUGAAAUGCGUAGAUAUCACUCGGAAGGCCAAAGGCGAAGGCAAGCUACUGGCACGCAACUGACACUGAGGCACGAAAGCGUGGGGAGCAAACAGG
rnacentral:rRNA from 1 species